GCCGGCCCUGGGCUCCGGGCGGGCGGAGGGACGGGCCGCAGCCGGAGGGGGCCGCACCCGGGCGAGGCUGGACGCCGGCGGCCAGGGCCUGGGCCCCGCCGGGCCGGGAGGGGACAUCCGGAGCCCACGGCGACGCCAGGCCGUCCGCCCCCGCCCCCUUCCUCCGGAGGACCUCUGCGCUUGGCUUUGUUUUCUAAUCUUUAUCCCCCACCCCCCCCAUAUUAAUUCCAAAGGAAAUAGGGCUUUCAAGCUCCCUGUCGGUAGGAAAUUAUAAUCCUGGGCAAAGGAAGAGGAAACGUUCCUCUAUGAUCAACACCAUCUCAGUGAGAACUGUGUUCUGCGCAAGCUGUCCCACCGACCGCAUCGGGGCUGGGGGAGGGGGAAGAUGGAGUAAGGAGGCCUGGAAGAUGAGCCGCGUCUUCCUCGUGCUUUUUGCCCAGGGUUGGCUCGUCCUCUUGGUGUUCAGAGGAGGAGCUGUAGCAUCCAGAGCAAGAACUCGCUUGCUUUGUCCGCGUUGGUGAAAUCUUUGGCUCGCUGGCCUGUCCCGGCCUGCUAACUGGCAAGCAAACCCUGGACCGGUUACCCAAGUCUUCUUGGAGUCCUGAGGAUGCCAGUCAUUCUGUGUUAGCAGUGCAAUUGCUCAAGAACGUGGAGUUCAGAAUGGGCUCUAACAGGGUAUUUCUGGAGCGAUGUCUAAUUUGCUGAGUGAUUAUGCAAAGCAUAAAGUGUGCUGUGGUCCUGGGAAUAAUGCAACACUUCCCUUUAGUUGUUGUGGUGAAUUAAUGAUACUUGUGAUCCUGAACGUCUUACUCACAAAGGCAUGUGCCCAUGCGCGAUAAGCCAAACCCUGAGACGUGCUUGGAGGUGGAGAACGGUUUAUUGGAACUGGCCAAAUUGAGGAGGAGGGUGGAUAGGUUUUCUCAAAUCCGCCAAAACAAGAGAAGAAAGCAGGGGAUUUUAUAGCACUAAGGGGCUUGGAAGGAGGAGUUUCGCAGAAACAAAGGGGAAAUCUGUGUUUCUUUCACUCCAGACAAGCUCUUGGGCAAUCUGACUUCUGGGAUCAGUGGCGUCUAGAGGCUGGUUAUCUGGCGAUCGUAACUUCCUUGAAGGUGUUCUGUUUCUUCUGGAAAACAAGCCCAUAAAUCCUUGUGACCCUUGAGUCACCCCUCAGGUUAAACAAGAAAACAGCAAGUUAACAAGAUUAAUUUCUUUUCAUCUGUCUGUGUUGGGAACAUGGUUGAAGGGUAAUUAUAUUUAUUAUUGAAUAUUUACAGUAACCCUCGGGUACCAGCCUCACUGGGUGCUUUCCUGCCCCAAAUGAACUACAAUUAGGAUUUUACAAAUAGUAGUUGGAUUUGUACUUUUGAAUUUUAAGAUUUCCAACAUAUUUCAUAUACACAAAAGGGGCAAGCCCUUUUCCACAACGUUUCCAACUUCUUCACAGAAGCCUAAGCCCCAUGUGACCAAAAGCUCAUACUCUGCUUCGUCAAGGAGAUCACACAGUUACAGCUGCCAACACCUCCCGGGAGUCCUUUGAAAAAUGGCUCAGAAAAAGGCUCUGGAUUCAGGGCCGCCAUUAUGAAGGAAAGGGAAAAACCAGGCAGUUGGCUUUCUGUCCCUAAAAGGUAUCCUCUGAAAAGAAAUUUUCACAUUUUGAGGUAUAUAGGGUAGCUACUCUGGUUUAAAAUUCAUUCAUUUGGCCUGACCUAAAGAAGCCUGAUUUAUGGCCUAUGGAACAUACAUUGUACAUCUCCUUUAACCAUUAAAGGAUGCAUUAAACAUUAUCUCAAAAGAACACACUCUUUGAAGAUAAGAGUGCAUACUUCCCCUCCUACAUCACCAGUAUCAGUAAUGAGUAUCAGUACUCCUAAAGAUAGGUUCCCUUUCCCCGACAUCAGGGUCAUGAACCACUAAUUUGCAACUGAAUACUUCUUUGAAACUUUGCUGCACGUGUAUCCUGGGCGUGUUUGAGGUAUGUUGUUUGUUCUAAAAAGGUGUAAAACUGUACUGAAAACCAAGCUUCUCUUGAACACUUUCUUCCUUUGUGGAGACUGCCUUCCUGGAUUAUGGUCCUCAGCGUGGCUCAGCUGUGCUGUGACAUGGAGAGGCUGGGAGCACUGCCCUUGACGAACGUUACUGUGCAGGAUGUUCACUGCCAUCUGCUGGGAGCAGGCGAAGUUGACAUACUGUUACUCCAGAAGUAAAACAAAGGAGACAUUAAAUACGCAGCUUGCUCAAUGCCAUCCUCUCUUAUGACAUAUAUAUGCUACCCUUACAGGAGAAACUGAAACACAGCUGCUGCAUUGUGAAUCCACGCCGGGAAAGAAACGGUGUCCAGUGAAUAAUGAGAAGGCCCCAGAAUGGCUCCUCUAACAAUCCUGCUUCUUCCUUUACUGGAAUCCUUCCUUGUGGGCUCAACAGCGACUCAUGCAUCGAGGGGAGUGGGACUUGGGACUCAAAGGCACAAAAGGGCAGAAAGGAGGCCACAACUCACUGCUGGGAACUGGACCAGACGAGUCAACAAUGGCAAAGAAGUCCUGGAAUAUGAGCUUCAAAAUCUCAGUCAAAACUCACCCCUAAGAGAAUCUACCUGAUGAAUCUUAUUUGAUCGUGUCAGCUCUUUAACUACUGGUCAUCCUUUCAGCAUGCACUCAGUUAUUUAAGUGGUGAACUGACAGAUCCACCAAACCAAGGCCUGCAUGCCAGGAAGUGUGAGCUGUUGAUCUGUGUAUAGACAUCACCAGCCUUUUGGAGGACAAUUCCCGUGUAUUGGAGACCUGGUUGGUGAACCCAUCCACACCAGGAGGAUGACACACCCCAACGCCAUGGGCACAGAAACUCCUGUGCUUAGGACCCUCCCAGAUCUCGCCUUGUGUCUUUCUUCAUCUGGCUGGUCACCGGUAUCCUUUACCAUAUCCUUUAACAAACUGGUAAAUGUUAAGUAGAGUGUUUCCCUGAGUUCUGUGAGCCGCUCUAGCAAAUUAAUCUAAUCCGAGUAGGGGGUCGUGGGGACCUCCGAUUAGUAGCCAAGCUGGACAGAGGUUGUGGGUAACCUGGGACCUACUCCUUGAAGUUGGCAUCUGAAGCUGGAGGCAGUCUCCUAGGACUGAGCCCUUCACCUGUGGGAUCUGAUGCCAUCUCCAGGUAGAUAGUCUCAGAAUCGGGUUAAAUCAUGGGACACCCAGCUGGUGUCGGAGAAUUACUUGGUGUGGCUCCCCCUGCCAACCCCGUCUGGUGUCAGAAAUGUUGUGAGUCCAUGGUAGUGUGAGAGUAAAGCAGACUCAUAGGAGGAAAAAACUGAGUUUUUCUCAAUACACGUAUUCUUCCCACCCCCCUCUUUUUUUCUAAAAGAACUUUUGAAAAUGUAAAAGUCAUCCCUAGCUCACAGACUGUACAAAAAUAGGCCACAGACUGGCUAUAGUUGGCUGACCCCUGCUGGACCGUCCCCAGUGCCCAGAUCAGUGCUUGGUGGAUACAGAGGAACUGAGAAACAUCGACUGAUUAAUGAGUGAUUACACGACUGAGCGCUAUCGGAGCGCCUCUGCUCUGUGUUUCCUUUUGCAAAUGUCUCCACCGUGCUCCCUUCCACCCUGUACCAUUCCAAGUCCUGAAUCUUUGCAGCGUGCCUGAUCCUAGGAACAAGCCAGUGAAGCCCCCAGAGCCAGAGCCAGGCUGAGUGGCGCCUUCGACACAGCCGUGCACGCUGGGUCGGGGGCUCAUCUCUAAUCUAAUCUAGCAGAGGAGCUCUUCUCACCUGCAGUCGAUGACGUUAAAUGAUUCUGGGGAGAAAAGUGGUGAGGGAGCGUUAGAACGAUAUUAAAUAAUCACCGCAUUUAGAUGGCAGCUAUUUAUGCGUCUCCAUGAACGUGUGAAGUCCUUUCUCCCACGCUGGUUUUUAUCGAAGGUCUGACAAAUCCCGCCUGACUGUGGCAGAAGAAAGUGAGAAUGUCGGGGCAAGCACAGCUUUGCUUCCUCACUAAAUGCAUUUUCAUCUCAGCUCCUGGGAGAGCACACGUUAUUUUCUCCUCGUGCCUCACGUUUAUCACAGCGGCAUCAAUUACUUCUACAGAGCAUCUUUCCAAAGACAUACGGGAAUGUAAGUGAGAAUGAACGGGUUCACUCAGAGAAUUCUUAUUACUGGCAAUUCAGGCACGUGCUCUGCUUCCCUUAAAAAGCCUAUUUUUGAAAAUAAUAUGACAUACUAAAUUUGAAGCAUAGACUAUGUGUGUGUUUUCACACAUUUUAAAUAAUUCUCUCUUUAAAUACUGAAUAAUUGUGAGGCUGAUUAUCAUUCUUUAUAAUAGAUGAAUUCUAUAAAUUCACACGUUUGCUGACCAGAGCAAAAGUAAGAAAUAUAAUCAUCAGUAAUAUCCAUACAGAUUGCAUUCCUUAGCAAAUUUCAUGCUUUGAAAGGUAGUGAACUGAUUCUUCUCUGAGAAGUAUAAAAAUGUCCACUAGGUGUUGCUGCUGUACACUGAAUUAGCCAAAUGAGCCUGAAGAAACAAAGUAAUAACAAUUCCACCCACACGUUCGUUACCAUGAUUGUUCAGGCGAUUAUUAUUGGGAAGACUAAUAAGAAGAUAAAUGGAACAUAACUUAUUUCUAUAUAAUUUUGAAGAUGCUGUCAUUUGCAACUUUUGUUUCACAUAUGGGAAGAAGAAUGCCUUAGGAGAAAAGCUUAGAAGUCAAUACUAACUUUUAUUUUUUAAUGAAACAAUCAAAAGGAGUAUAUAAAAAUAGACAUUUUAGGUAUUGCAAAAAAAAUCAGAGAUAAGGUUACAUACAUAGAUUUUAGACAAUGCUCUGCUUUCAACAAUAUUGAAAAACUUUUGGUUAAUACAACAAUUAUUAAUCUGGAAAUUUGGUAAAAUUCUGUAGCAAUCAAAGUCUUGAAAGAGGGGCCGGCUCCAUGGCCGAGUGGUUAAGUUCGCGCUCUGCU